AUUGAGAGUUUGGGACAGUUUGGUGAGCUGUAUGAUUCGUCCCGCUCGUGAAUCUUAAGGUACCGUUUGGUUCGGGUAUAAGUAAGAACUAGCUGUUACAGGGAUAGGUACAAGUAUGGGGAUAAGAAAAAUACCGUUUGAAUGAAAAUUGGGUUGUUUCCGGGGAUAAGAAAAAUGGCGUUUGGAUAGAUAAUAUGGAAUACGAAAAAUAUUAGGUGGUUUUAUAUAAAAAAUAGAGGUGUUGGUAGGGAUAGUUAUAACCGGUUAUUAUAGAUAACCGAGAAUUACUGUUCUCGGAUAAAAAAUUAACGUUUUGGUAUAAAGGGGAUAAGGGCCUAUCCCUAUCCCUAUCCCCUAAUCAAACACUGCCUAUAAGUGUCUGGUCCAAUCUGAAAAUUUCUAUUCAAAUCUCAACAAUGUAUUGAAUGGAGAAUUUAAAUGAGGCCCAAUAAAAAUUGAAUGAGGCUCCUUAUUCAAUUUUUAUUUGAACUUCGAGGCCCAAUCGUGGCCCGCUUAUUAUGGCCUAAUUUUUACUAAUCUCUACAUUAAUGAGAGAAAUGGGAUAAUCAAAAUUGAUGAAUAAUUCCGAACUUAAAAAAUAGAAGAGCUGCUAUGCUACUAAUAGUACAGUAGCCCUGCUCUCUCUUUCUCUCUAUAUAUAUGUUAGUAUUUUUUGCUUAUUUAUCUCUUACUACUAAUCAAAAUUUUUAAAUUUAUUUUGAAAUUAUCAAAUCCAAUCUUAUUAAAUUUUACNUUUUAUAUUUUGAAUUAUCCGUUCAAUUUAAAAUGUGGAUGUAUAUAAAGAGUUGUAAAAUUUAUACGCGGGCAAAGCAUUUUUCAAAAGCAAAAUAAGACAUUAUUAACAGUGCGUGAUAGUUAUGUAGGAAAGGCUAAGCAAAUCGCCGAUGGCCCGAUUUCUGUUAUCGGAUCGGGCAUGCCCGAUUCAUCGGACCGGGUUGGGCUUUGAAGAUAAAUGCAAAAUACUUUAUAUCAUGCCAACCUAGUUAGGCCGGGCUGACACCGUCUUGUACGUAGGUGCACCCGACACUAUCGGCGAAAACGGAGUCGAGACAAAAAUAUACAAAAACAGAAAGACAACAGUAAAUACAUUAUAACUAAUUUAUUGCGGUAGACGCAACAUGAUAUCGAAGAGAUAUUUUACUCAAAUUUUAUCAUCACAAGUAAUGCAAUAUCUCUGCAAUUACCGACAUAGACUUUAUCCAAUCUCCUCUGCUAUUGAGAGUUUGGGACAGUUUGGUGAGCUGUAUGAUUCGUCCCGCUCGUGAAUCUUAAGAUACCGUUUGGUUUGGGUAUAAAUAAGAACUAGCUAUUAUUGGGACAGUUUGGUGAGCUGUAUGAUUCGUCCCGCUCGUGAAUCUUAAGAUACCGUUUGGUUCGGGUAUAAGUAAGAACUAGCUAUUAUAGGGAUAGGUACAAGUAUGGGGAUAAGAAAAAUACCGUUUGAAUGAAAAUUGGGUUGUUUCCGGGGAUAAGAAAAAUAGCAUUUGGAUAGAUAAUAUGGAAUAAGAAAAAUAUUAGGUAGUUUUAUAUAGAAAAUAGAGGUGUUGGUAGGGAUAGUUAUAACUGGUUAUUAUAGGUAACCGAGAACUACUGUUCUCGGAUAAAAAAUUAACGUUUGGAUAUAAAGGGGAUAAGGGGCUAUCCCUAUCCCUAUC
rnacentral:lncRNA from 1 species